UAGUCCACGCCCUAAACGAUGCUAACUCGAUAUUUGGGCAGUAAGCACUGAGUAUCCAAGGGAAACCGUUAAGUUAGCCACCUAGGGAGUACGUCGGCAACGAUGAAACUCAAAGGAAUUGACGGGGGCCCGCACAAGCGGUGGAGCAUGUGGUUUAAUUCGAAGCAACGCGCAAAACCUUACCCAGGCUUGACAUCCUAAGAACUUGGUGGAAACACCUUGGUGCUAUCUCACGAUAGAACUUAGUGACAGGUGCUGCAUGGCUGUCGUCAGCUCGUACUGUGAGGUGUUCGGUUAAGUCCGGCAACGAGCGCAACCCCUAUCGUUAGUUACCAUCAUUUAGUUGGGGACUCUAGCGAGACUGCCGGUGAUAAACCGGAGGAAGGUGGGGACGACGUCAAGUCCUCAUGGCCCUUAUGUCUGGGGCUACACACGUGCUACAAUGGUAUUUACAGAGGGCAGCGAAGCCGCGAGGUGGAGCAAAUCUCAUAAAAAUAUCUCAGUUCGGAUAGU
rnacentral:rRNA from 1 species